rnacentral:rRNA from 1 species
UGGGGAAUCUUCCGCAAUGGACGAAAGUCUGACGGAGCAACGCCGCGUGAGUGAUGACGGCCUUCGGGUUGUAAAGCUCUGUUAAUCGGGACGAAUGGUUCUUGUGCAAAUAGUGCGAGGAUUUGACGGUACCGGAAUAGAAAGCCACGGCUAACUACGUGCCAGCAGCCGCGGUAAUACGUAGGUGGCAAGCGUUGUCCGGAAUUAUUGGGCGUAAAGCGCGCGCAGGCGGAUUGGUCAGUCUGUCUUAAAAGUUCGGGGCCUAACCCCGUGAUGGGAUGGAAACUGCCAAUCUAGAGUAUCGGAGAGGAAAGGGGAAUUCCUAGUUUAGCGGUGAAAUGCGUAGAUAUUAGGAAGAACACCAGUGGCGAAGGCGACUUUCUGGACGAAAACUGACGCUGAGGCGCGAAAGCCAGGGGAGCGAACGGG